AAUAGGGUGGGGCCGGCCCCCUCCUCUAGUCCUUUCGUUCAUCUUAUGUCGUCUUCAACCUCCGGACUCCUCCCUCCCCCUUCUCCGACCGCGGUUAACUGGUUUGUGGUCUCCGUCUACUGCUACUGCUAGGUGAGGGACGGAGGCAGGCGACUGAGCAGGGCAGAUUUGGUUUGUGGCCGCUCGCUACCCCUUCAAUCCGCCAGACCGGCGCUUGAGCAUUAGCAGCCCUAUUCGCUAUUCCCUCCCCUCCAUUCCUCUCCCUCGCUCAAGCGGGAGCUCGAGUCAAUCCCCACCAGUUCGACAGUUGCCCAAUAGCGAGAUGCCCGAAGAGAAUUCCGGAGGAGGCGCCGGCCAUGGCGAUGGCGGCGACAUCUACAACGUCCGGGCCGCCGAGAUCCUCGCCAACGAGGCCCUCUUGCUCCCCAUCAACGAAGCCGCCCCAAUCUACGAGAAGCUGCUCGCCACUUUCCCCACGGCUGCCAAAUACUGGAAGCAGUAUGUCGAAGCCUACAUGGCCACUAACAACCACGAAGCCACCAAGCAGAUUUUCAGCAGAUGCCUGCUCAACUGCCUUCACAUUAGUCUAUGGCGCUGUUACAUAAACUUUAUCAGGAGAAUAAACGAUAAAAGGGGCUCUGAGGGUCUUGAUGAAACAAAAAAGGCUUUUGAUUUCAUGCUCAACUAUGUUGGGAAUGAUGCUGCUUCUGGCCCUGUGUGGAUGGAGUAUAUUAAUUUCCUCAAGUCCAUGCCGGCUGUGACGCCCCAUGAAGAGUCGCAUCGCAUGACUACUGUUCGUAAAGUGUACCAGAAGGCAAUUUUAGUCCCAACUAAUCAUGUAGAGCAGCUUUGGAAGGAUUAUGAGAACUUCGAGAAUUCUGUUAGCCGCACCUUGGCAAAAGGUUUGUUAUCUGAAUAUCAACCAAAGUUUAACAGUGCUAAAGCUGUAUAUAGAGAGCGAAAAAAGUUCAUUGAUGAUAUUGAUUGGAAUGUGCUGGCCACUCCCCCUACAGGCUCUUACAAGGAAGAGCAACAGUGUAUGGCAUGGAAAAGACUCUUGGUAUUUGAAAAGGGGAACCCUCAAAGGAUUGAUGCUACAACAGCUAAUAGGCGUGUCACCUUUACUUAUGAGCAAUGCCUGAUGUAUCUAUAUCAUCAUCCUGAUAUAUGGUACGAUUAUGCUAUGUGGCAUGCGAAGAAUGGUUCUAUGGAUUCUGCAUCAAAAAUAUUUCAGCGAGCUCUAAAAGCAAUCCCUGAUUCUGAAGUACUUAAGUAUGCCUUUGCUGAAAUGGAAGAGUCCAGAGGGGCAAUACAGACUGCUAAGACAAUAUAUGAAUCUCUUCUAGGUGAAAAUGCUAGUGUGACCUCACUUGCAAAUAUUCAGUUUAUUCGGUUUCUAAGGAGAACUGAAGGCAUUGAAGCAGCUCGUAAGUACUUUUUGGAUGCUCGGAAGUCACCAAGCUGCACUUAUCAUUUGUAUGUUGCUUAUGCUACAAUGGCAUUCUGCGUUGACAAGGAUGCAAAGGUGGCACAAAGUGUUUUUGAAGCAGGUUUAAAGAGAUUUAUGCAUGAGCCAGGAUACAUCCUUGAAUAUGCAGACUUCCUGUGUCGUUUAAAUGACGACAGAAAUGUACGUGCUUUAUUUGAGAGGGCACUGAGCUUACUUCCACCUGAGGAAUCCACAGAGGUAUGGAGACGAUUUGCCCAAUUUGAGCAGAUCUACGGGGAUUUAUCAAGCAUGCUUAAGGUUGAACAAAGAAGGAAAGAGGCUCUUUCUAGGACAUCAGAAGAUGUCCUAUCUGCAUCGGAAAACACUCUUCAUGACAUAGUUUCUCGAUACAGUUAUAUGGAUCUUUGGCCAUGCUCAUCAAAAGAAUUGGAUUAUCUAGCGAGACAAGAGUGGCUAUCGAAAAACAUUUUUAAGAAGGUUGACAAAUCAGCUAUGCUAAAUAGCAGUAGCAUGCUAGACAAAGGUGCUGCAGGAUUUAGUGCGAGUGCAAGGUUACUACCACAAUCUGCCAAAGUUGUUCGUCCUGAGACUUCUCAAAUGAUCAUUUAUGAUCCAAGACAGAUGAAAGAUAUAUCUAGCCAUUUUAUUUGCAGCCUAGGAAGGGGAAGGGGAAGGGGAUGGGAAAGGGGAAGGAGAAUUCAGUUUGUGGCCCAGAGUUUGCAGCAACUAGCAGUGGGUACACGAAGGAGGUUGAAGACAUGCUCAAAGUGCUAUCACCGAUGAUGGUGUCCUUUAUUAAGAAUUUGCCUGCUAUUGAAGGACCAUCACCGGAUAUUGAUGUGGUGCUCAGCGUGCUGCUGCAGAGCACAUUGCCAGUUGCACAGAGUGCUGGGAAAGCAGGUGGCGUGAGUGAGCUCUCAGGCAUUGGAAAAGCAGGACUAAACCAGAAUGGAUCUGUUCAUAGACCUCCAAGGGAGAGAAGGAAGGACGUGGAAAGGCAAGGGGUGCAGGAGGAAGAGGAUGCGUCAACGGUGCAGAGUAGGGCAGCUGUGCCACGAGACAUCUUCAGGCUUCGACAGAUUCAGAGGAGCCGUGGCCUGGGGGUGGGCGCUGCUGCCGCCGCUUCACAGUCUGGGUCCUCGGCAUUUUCCUUCUCGGGCGGUGGAAGCGCCUUCUCUGGGGAUCACUCAGCCAGCACAGAUUAGUAGUUUAUCUAUGGUGGAAUAUAUCAGCUGUAUCAUUAUUUAGCAUCUGCAUUUCAGAAUUUACAUUAUUGUAGGGUGAAACUGUUGGUGCUAAGCUUUGUGAUAGAAUGGACACCUGUGAGUAGAUCGUAAAGUCUGAUGUGCUGUUUCUUCUAACUGUUGGUCCUGGGGCGGUGCUGAUGAUGCCGAGGAUGAUGAAUGAAUGAAAGCACAAUCAAAGAGAACUUGUCCAGUUGCUUUU